GAUGAAGAACGCAGCUAAAUGCGAUAAGUAAUGUGAAUUGCAGAAUUCAGUGAAUCAUCGAAUCUUUGAACGCACAUUGCGCCCGCCAGUAUUCUGGCGGGCAUGCCUGUUCGAGCGUCAUUACAACCCUCAGGCCCCCGGGCCUGGCGUUGGGGAUCGGCGGAAGCCCCCUGCGGGCACAACGCCGUCCCCCAAAUACAGUGGCGGUCCCGCCGCAGCUUCCAUUGCGUAGUAGCUAACACCUCGCAACUGGAGAGCGGCGCGGCCACGCCGUAAAACACCCAACUUCUGAAUGUUGACCUCGAAUCAGGUAGGAAUACCCGCUGAACUUAAGCAUAUCAAUAAGCGGAGGA
rnacentral:misc_RNA from 1 species